AUUGAACGCUGGCGGCAGGCCUAACACAUGCAAGUCGAACGAGUGGCGGACGGGUGAGUAAUGUCUGGGAAACUGCCUGAUGGAGGGGGAUAACUACUGGAAACGGUAGCUAAUACCGCAUACCAUCGGAUCGGCCCAUAUUGGAUUAGCUAGUAGGUGGGGUAAAGGCUCACCAAGGCGACGAUCCCUAGCUGGUUUGAGAGGAUGACCAGCCACACUGGGACUGAGACACGGUCCAGACUCCUACGGGAGGCAGCAGGGGGGAAUAUUGGACAAUGGGCGAAAGCCUGAUGCAGCCAUGCCGCGUGUAUGAAGAAGGCCUUCGGGUUGUAAAGUACUUUCAGCGGGGAGGCGUUACCCGCAGAAGAAGCACCGGCUAACUCCGUGCCAGCAGCCGCGGUAAUUC
rnacentral:rRNA from 1 species